UACGUAGGGAGCAAGCGUUGUCCGGAAUCAUUGGGCGUAAAGCGCGCGUAGGUGGCUUCGUAAGUCCGCUGUGAAAGUCAAAGGCUCAACCUUUGAAAGCCGGUGGAUACUGCGGGGCUAGAGUACGGAAGAGGCGAGUGGAAUUCCUGGUGUAGCGGUGAAAUGCGCAGAUAUCAGGAAGAACACCCGUGGCUAAGGCGGCUCUCUAGUACGGUACUGACGCUGAGACGCGAAAGCGUGGGGAGCGAACAGG
rnacentral:rRNA from 1 species